rnacentral:rRNA from 1 species
GGACCCGCACAAGCGGUGGAGCGUGUUCUUUAAUUCGAGGCUAAACGAAGAACCUUACCAGGGCUUGACAUCCCUAUAACCGAUUUCCGAAAGGAAAUUCUCAUUUAGUUGGAUAGGUGACAGGUGAUGCAUGGCCGUCGUCAGCUCGUGUCGUGAGAUGUUUGGUUAAGUCCAUCAACGAGCGCAACCCUUAUUGUUAGUUGUAUUUUUCUAGCAAGACUGCCCUUGUAAAAAGGGAGGAAGGAGGGGAUGAUGUCAGGUCAGUAUUUCCCUUACGCCCUGGGCCAGAAACGCGCUACAAUGGCCGGUACAACGGGAAGCGAAGCAGCAAUGUGGAGCAAAUCCCAUCAAAACCGGUCCCAGUUCGGAUAGAAGGCUGAAACUCGCCUUCUUGAAGUCGGAAUCGCUAGUAAUCGCAAGUCAGCAAAUUG